rnacentral:tRNA from 2 species
GGGGCUAUAGCUCAGUUGGUAGAGCAUCUGUUUUGCACACAGAGGGUCAGCGGUUCAAAUCCGCUUAGCUCCA